GGGCAUGUGACUCAAGUGGUAGAGUGUUUGUCCAGAAAGUAUAAGGCUCUGAGUUCAAUCCUCAGUACCACCA
rnacentral:tRNA from 1 species